rnacentral:rRNA from 1 species
AUUGAACGCUGGCGGCAUGCCUUACACAUGCAAGUCGAACGGUAACAGGUCUUCGGAUGCUGACGAGUGGCGAACGGGUGAGUAAUACAUCGGAACGUGCCUAGUAGUGGGGGAUAACAACUCGAAAGAGUGGCUAAUACCGCAUGAGAUCUACGGAUGAAAGCAGGGGAUCGCAAGACCUUGUGCUACUAGAGCGGCCGAUGGCAGAUUAGGUAGUUGGUGGGAUAAAAGCUUACCAAGCCGACGAUCUGUAGCUGGUCUGAGAGGACGAUCAGCCACACUGGGACUGAGACACGGCCCAGACUCCUACGGGAGGCAGCAGUGGGGAAUUUUGGACAAUGGGCGCAAGCCUGAUCCAGCAAUGCCGCGUGCAGGAUGAAGGCCUUCGGGUUGUAAACUGCUUUUGUACGGAACGAAAAGCCCUGGGUUAAUACCCUGGGGUCAUGACGGUACCGUAGGAAUAAGCACCGGCUAACUACGUGCCAGCCGCCGCAGUAA